UGUUUGUUUCAAUACAUAUAACUAAGACUGGAGCACUACCGAGAUGAUUAGAAUAGCCCCUACACAGGAGGGCACUCGCGUCUGUGAAACGUUCCGUGAUUUU